AAUUUUCCAAAUUCUCUGUUUUCUGCACUUAGACUCAAUGCUAACGGGGAAAAAUCUUGAUAUAGCUUCACUCUCUCCUUCUCUCGUAACAAAGGCAUAAGAUACUCUAGUGUUAUUGGCAUGAAGUAGAGCUGCUUCAAGUUUGUGAAAUCACUGUAAGAAUCAGGAUAUAAAUGGUUAUCUAAAUUGUAGACGUACUUUUUUUCACCCCUGUAAAUAUUCUGAUGCAUUCCCAUUUAUGGAUUCUCUUGUUAUAAUAGUUAAUUUCUGCUAUCAUUUUUUAUAAUUGCUAGGGCAAGAAAUUUUCUAUUCAAG
rnacentral:misc_RNA from 1 species